CUUAGAUUUUGGAGAGAACAGGUAGCCUGGCAUUCAUCUAUUUAAAAAGGCCUCUGAAAAAAGUGAAAUUUUCAGUGCCAGGGCUUCCUAUUCACAAGGCAUGACCCUGGGCAUAUGUAACAUUUCCUUUCAAACAGGGAUGAUGUCUUAAAUUUUUAUAUUUUGGGAACACACUGUAUAUACUUCCUUUGGAAAGCAAAUCUCAGGAUUCCAAAGAAAAUCUUAUCCUCUUGUUCAUAUUCCUUGACAUCUAUAACUAAUAAUUCAGCAAAGCCACCUUCUCAUACCCCAAUAUCUAAUGACACCGUCUGUCCCUUGGAAAUGGAGAAGCUGUGACCCUGGAAGCAAAUGAUAGCAAAGGAUCUAAGUCAGGCACUCAGAUUAUAUAAAACAAAAUUUGAACUCAAAGUAAGCAAAUGUGUGCAUGCCCAAAUAACUUCUUUAUAGUUAACCUUUAUUCAGUUCUUCUUCAAGAUGCAGUGUAUCUAAGACUGCCAACCUCAAUCAAAAGACAAACUUAAUCAGUGCUGUGGUUUUAAUGUGUCCCCCAAAGCUCAUGUGUUGAAAAUUUAAUCCCCAAUUCAAUAAUGUUGAGAGGUGAUGCCUCUAAGAGAUGAUUAGGUCAUGAGGGCUGUGCCCUCAUGAAUGGAUUAAUGUCAUUGUCAUAGGAGUGGGUUAGUUCUCACUGGAAUGGCUUCCUGAUAAAAGGAUGAAUUCAGUCCCCUUCCCCUUCUUCCUUAUGCCCUCUUGCCCUUCUGCUUUCUACCGUGGGAUGAUGCAGCAAGAAGACCCUCGCCAGAUGCAGACUCCUCAGCCUUGGACUCCCAAGCCUCCAGAACUGAAGUGAUGGAAAAACUAUUCUCAGCAAAUGAGUGGAAAUUGCACAACUACAAGAUUUACCCAUUUUUUGAAAGCUGCCUGAGAAAGAAGAUAGCAAUCCAAAAGAAAAUUCUUCAUACAGUUCACAGAUGCUAACUGAUCCCCUGUUCCAUCAACCAUAACUACAGCUUUGACCGGACAAGAGACUGAUGUCAGUAACUUUCUCCUAAUAAGAAGACCACCAACCAUGGACUGAUGAUUCUGGCUGGUUUAAAGAGAUCACUCUUGCAUGCCUCUGUGUCCUAAAAAGGCCUUUUGACAUACAGGCCCUAAUUGUAAGACAUUUAAAUGUUAAGUCUCCACCUCAAAGUGAACAUGGGUUGUAUGUUACAUGCAUGUUUGCUUUAUACACAUGCAUCAGAACCACCUUUGUGAAUAUUCGUAGCCUUCUAUAACCUGUUGAAUAUGUAUGUUUAGCCAACCUGUUCAACAUAAAGCUCCUAUACCAACCGUUCCUCCUUUGAAGUGCCUGUCUCUGGUCUUGUCCAAAGACAUGCUUCCCAGGCUGCAGGAUGGUCACUUUGCAGACUAUAACCCUUUACAAGAAAUAAAGUCUCCUUUCCUUUUCCAAAUUUAUAGAUUUAAGUUGACAAAAUGAAUACUCCAAGAUCCCAUCAUCCAUAUAUUCUGUAGAUGGAGAGGUGUGGGGCCCAGGAUUUGCCUUUUUAACCAGACUCUCAGGUGGCUUUGAAUCAGGUCUUCUGAAAAACAUGGCUUGAGAAACACAUCUGGUUGGUUGUUAAUUUGUUUUAGUAUUAAAUCCUAAAUCCUUUGAUUUGGCAUACUAUAUACAAACUUAUGUAAUAAACCAGAGUUAAUUCAAAGGAAAAAGUAGAAUAUGAGAAAUCCAUUGUCAGCACCGUACAUUAUAUUUAUAAAUUUUCCUGAAUCACAUAAUCUAACUUAAGUUUGGUUUGCCAAAUGUGUGCCUCAUUCACUUUUCAGAGACUCUGAGAUUCAAAUAUAAAUAAACGGAUCCCUUGUUUUCUGAAUACAUUUAUUUGGGUGGUGGGAAAUGGGCAAAAUGCUUUUUCUAAUAGAAAGCCUGAUAAAAGAAAUCUUGACUGUCUUGUUGGUCAUGAAGUGGUUAUUAGAAAUCAACAUCUUGAAGUAUUUAAAUGCAAAUAAAUUAGAAGAAGAUACAUUG
rnacentral:lncRNA from 1 species